AUCACUCCGCCACUAAAAGUCCACCUGUCAGUAACGGGAACUCAUUAUUUCCGAAGUCGCUGUCGAAGUUGGAGUCAAAAAUUCAAAAUUCUCUCAUAGCCAUCGAACGUUUCGAUCAAGGCUGUUCGUCACAGCCAUUCAACAGGUUGAAGCAUGUUGCAUAAAAGCAUUCUUCUUGGCCUGCUGGCUCUACAAAGCGUACAUUGCUAUAGUGGCCUAUUUCUGGACGAGUGCCAAGCCUUCGCAGAGCACCAGACUGGAUCAAAUGAUUUAGGUGACGUCACUUCCGUGCCGGCCUAUGAGCUUGUCGUCAGCCAAGCUCAGUAUGGUUACCUACCCAACCAACAAUUUGAACUGAGGAUCAAGGCAAAGGACACGGACCGUCCGUUCUCGAGGUUUAUCGUGACUUCCGAGAAUUCCGACGAGACCUGUGAGGAUGUGACCCUGGUGCCAACCCUUGGGGAUGUCAGAUACCUGCAGGACUGCCCGGGAGUCUUGGUGUCAGACCGGCCUUUGCAGACUGUCGAAGCUUCCUUUCAGUGGGAGUCGCCAUCUUGCGGCUGUGUCACAUUCAGGGCAAUAGUCUUUGAUCACGUCUAUGGCAACAGGCCACCGCAGUCUACGAACCUUGAACUCAAAGUCUGCCCUAACGCUGUGGAUCUGGACAACUACCUAAACACACUCCUUCAAGAAAUCAACCCAGAGAGUUACGACGUCACGGGUGACCUUGACGAAGAAACCCAGAAUGCACUUGAUGCAAGUGUCCUUGGAGGUUCCGAGCAAAAUGAGGAGGAGCUAGACGAAGACACCACUGAUGUCGACUUUUCUAAAUUGAAUCCUGAAGUCGGCAACCCAAGAGGUUUGUGCAAGGAGUUCAUGACUCGUCGCGGUGCCGGCUUGAGCGCUCUUCUCCGUCGUCGAUGGUGGCGCUGUUGUGAGCGGAAAGGGAGCAAAAUCAAGAAAUGUAUCGCCAAAACAAUACCGCCGCACGAGAGGAUCAAUCUGCGCAUUGGCAGUGUUUGUCGAGCGUUCAAAGCAAAAGCUCUGACGUCACGGUCCUCGACAGCAGUCAUGCGCACCAAGCGAUGUUGCAGCAUUCCCAGACCAAACCGCCGAGCCCAGUGUUUUCACAAAGUCAAAAUGCAGGCGAUAGAUCAGUUUUGUGACGGUCUGAUACCGGCCCCGUUUUUCCUACCGAAGACAAUCAAGAAGCAGUCCAGACAAUCAGUGUUUAAAAAGACGCUGGAUGUUCGUACUAAGUCUUGCUGUUCAAAUGACGGACGCUCUCGCUACGUUUGCUUCUCUCGGAAACUGCAGGAAGAUACGACGAGCAAAGAGGAGUCUACGAUGCUCACAGAAAACCCUGCCAAACGUCUCUGUGCUAUCUCCAACAGGAAGGAGAACAAGUUUCCCGGACUGAAAAGUUGCUGCAAAGUUGAGGACUUAUAUAACAAGGUUAUGUGUAUCGGGAAGGUUGUACGAUCGGGUUUCGAUGACAAGUGCCACAGGGGGCACUCGUUGAUGUUGGAGGAGUCUGUUAAAUUGGAACAAGAUACCCGCAAAAGCAAAUUAGAGAGUGUUGUAGAGCCAAUGGCGAGGAGCGAUAUAAAUGUUUCGUCUCAUUUGGUUACAAGUUGAGCAUUUCUCAAGUUCGAAGCGACAUCACUGUGAUCCUGAAUGAAACAUUUUUUCAAAGGGCCGGUACUGAUCGACAGUCACUGGAUCUAGAUAUGUCAGGCGACUCCUCGUCGGAGCCUCUUGAAGACUUUGGUGAAGACAAACUGUUUGAAUCCUCUCCGGUUUCCGUAGAAAUGGGGAAUGAAGAGAAACAGACAAAGAGGUCGUCGGAGUCUCGGUCGUCGGAGUCUCUUGAAGACUCUGAUGAAGACAAACAUUUUUUUCAAAGAGCUGGUACUGAUGGACAGUCACUGGAUCUAGAUAUGUCAGGCUACUUCUCGUUGGAGUCUCUUGGAGACUCUGGUGAAGACAAGCUGUUUGAAUCCUCUCCGGUUUCCGUAGGAAUGAGGGAUGAAGAGAAACAGACAAAGAGGUCGUCGGAGUCUCUUGAAGACUCGGAGUCUCUGGAAGACUCUGGUGAAGACAAACUGGAUGAAAAGAAUCAGACUACGAGAUAUUGUCAAGAGGUUGGAAAGAGAGAAAAGAGAAGGACCAAUCGCGAGUUACGCAUCCUAAGUCGUCUCUGCCUCAACCCAGACGCAAACAGCCAUCUACUCAAGUGUUGUGUGCAUCAUGGCCGGGUUCGAAGAAUGAGGUGUUUGCGUAACGUAAGGAAGGAGAACUACCAUGCCACCUGUCAAGGGGAGCUCACUCCACUAGCCAAGCGGCUUGGCGGUACCAUUAGUGACGAUCACCCGUGUUGUGCGGAAGAGGACACGGAGGAAAGAUCAUGUUGUUUCAAGGAGCUGCUGAGGAACAAGUAGAAGCUACUUGAUCACCGACCACCCAUGCUUCUUGACCUUGACGAUCUGAAGAGCGACCCCCGCGGAGAAGGAGAACUGAGGAGAAUGGACAACCUGUGCAGAGGGAUGGAUGGACUUGAGAUGAAUGAUUUUCCUGAGAGACAAAGUGUCUUCGAGUGUUGCAAGAGCCGUGGCGACAGGAAGUACCGCUGUUUGCUGCAGGUCUUCCGGGCUUACACGAACAAGGUCUGCUCCGGGCAAGACGUGGACGUCGCGUACCAGGUCGGACACUUGGGAGAGAUACCGGAUGAGGACCAUCCUGCUGAUUACCUUAAUCCAGACCAUGCCUGCUGUCAACUUGAAGAUCAAGAGAGAUACCAGUGUGUGAUAUCUACGGGUGCAGAUCACAGGGACGCUGAUGAGAUCGAAUACGAGACCCAAGAGCUGGGGAGAAAACAGAAACCCAAGCAUCACCGUAAAGGACUUAAUAUUGGGGACGCCAAGCAGGAAAUAUGCGACCGUGUUGAUGGAUUAGACAGCGGUGAUGUCGCUGAUGUUUUGGACUUUUUGCAAAGUACACGUCUACCACCAUUCCAUAAGUUCAGCAAAAAGUCCAACAAAGAGGAGGAAGAAAGCCAAGAACGACGAAAAGGACAAAAAGGAGGCGGCAAAUUGAAACCAAAAGGACACGGGAAGAAAGGAAACCGAAAAGGUCCCAAGCAUCAAAACAAACAUAAUAUGAACAGUGAAGAAUUAGGAUCAAGAAUGAAAGAAGGCGGGCGACGACAAGAUAUAAAGGAACGUCAUGUAAGAGAUGUCAAAAGAAUGAGAGACAGGGAGCACACAUCGUCAGACAGCCCAGACAUGCAAACAGACAAAGUCUUUAGAGAGAGGGAAGACGAUGAGAAAAGACAAAACGGUAGAAGAAGAGAAAGUAAACGACCUGAUAAAGCUCCGAAGAAAGGGGCAGGAAGACGUAGGGAUCCAGAGUCACAAGAAGGUUCAGACAGGGUUCAUCAAGACGAAGGUGAAGAAAUGGAGGUAGAAAGAGGCGUUGGUCGACUAAACAGACAUCACGAGAGGGGGCACUUCGGACGUCAGAACAGAACCAAUAAAGGUUAUGGAGAGGUUAGUGGGUAUGAUGAUGAAUCUCAGAAUGAUACAUCAGUGAGCACCGAACAAGGAAGAGAUGGUUCGAGAGGGCUUUGGAAACGUAAAGGAAAGCAAGGCCGCAGGUCUGACAUGUACUUGCACGGGGGACACAACGAUACAGGAAGUCAACUUUUGAACGAUUCCUACUCUAUUCACGAGAGACUAAGCUCUUGCUGCCAGCUCAAAGGACCUAAGUUUGGCACCUGCCUAAGGAAUCUACAAAACGCCGUACUCGAUCUGUUAUGCGACACGGAAGUCGUCAUGGAUCAGAUGGGAAACUUCAGCUUAACAUCGGAACAGAUCGACAGCUGUUGCCCACUGAAGGGAAAACACCGUCACCAAUGCUUCAUCAAACAGAGAGUCGCUAAUUUCACAGACCAGUCCGACGAAGACCAGUCAGCCAUGCAGGGCGCCCUCACGCCGUAUGAAGCAAACGAGUCUGAAGAGGAAGAAGAGGAUGAUGAAGAGGAAGAAGAGGAUGUUGAUCGAUUGGAACAAAAAGAUGACCGAGGAAGGAAGGAUGCUGGGAAAGGUGAACGGCCAAAGAGAAGUACAGAUCGGUUGCCAGCUGGGGUGACCAGUGGUGAGUGGGACUGGACUCGUACUCCACGCCGACCGUCUUCUGGGUCCGGGCGAACGAGGCCCCGGCACCGGCGAAUAAAGGCUAUCUACCGUGGCCUUUGGAGCGAUCGCCGUGUACAAGCCAUGUGUGUGAAAGUCGUGGGCCGAGUAGCCGUCGGCGCAUUUGGUGACUUUCUGGAGACCAGCAACGAAAUCAUAAUGGAAGGGCAAGAGCAGCGCGGAACUGCAGUUGCCAUGGGAGAUCGAGCAUCCAUCACUGAGUCCCUCCGUGACUGUUGUGUAAUGGAGGAGGAGGCUGAGCGCAUGCGCUGUGUGAAACGAAUCAGAGGCAGUCUCGCCGACCAAAGAUGUUCAGCAAUCAGAAGCGGCCCACGGAGACGACAUCUUCCAUUCCCUGAGGCCUGUUGUGACGUCACGGGUGAGGAGCGGUACAGCUGCGUGAACGGGGAGCGACCGAUUGAUGGAUUUCGUGAGGCUCAAACCCCCCACCGAACACCAGACUCUGAUAGGCGGAUUGGCGAUGACUGGCCAGUGCAAACAGCGCCCUCUUCCGAUCAGAAUGAGCUACGUUAACCUGGACGCUUUUCUCGAUCCACACGCUUAAGAUACUCAUCAAUAAGAUGUUUCCUCCUUGCGGCACCUGAAAAUCGGCUUCCAAUCAGCCAACGGCUAGAACCGUCCUUUAGAUUAAAAAGAUAAACAGAUUUCCAAUUUCAACUUUUUUAUCUGUGAAAAAAGUUAACACAUGGUGACUUUUACUUUUUCUGCAUUUUGUUUUUGUCUAUGGGUCUUACGAUACUUUGUAAAAUCAGCUACCAAGUAACCAGGACCAGGAUUUCUCUCUCUUUGUGAAGGUGGGCAGGUAGACUUAAAGUAUCGUAUUGGGGCUUUUUACUUGACAGAUAAUUUUGUGAUUUGGGGCGAAAAUGACAUUUGUGCUGGGCGAGCACAAUGUAAUUUAAUUUAUCAGGGUUGUUGCUCCUUUCUGUCGAUGCCAAAUCUGAAUCAAAAGAUUUACCGAAGAUUGUUUGUUUGAAACGGGUACAAAUUCUUAAAGGUCUAAGGGACACGACUUCAGGACAAUUUUGUCACAUUAAUCCAGUGAUUGUUGUAAAAAAAAUCAGAUUAUUUUGACUUGCAUUAUGGUUUUACCAAUACGCAUAAGCAUUUAUCAACGAAAACUUUGGCAAAAAGCCACCCAUUUCCCAAACCAUCCAUUAUUCAGAUCUUCACAAAAUGCGACAUAAAUACAGUCGUGACGCAUUGUUGAUGAAAACUGACGUUUAUGGACGAGAACGUCUAGGUCUCUUUGGGGUUCAAUUCUGAAGAUUAUACUAACUAAAACCAACGACAUUGUUUUGAAGAGAUGAUGUCAGAGAUAUCACACCCUUACGUAAUGUGGUCAACUGGGGUUAGUCUUCCUGUUUUGUUGAUUAAUGACCGCACGGACUGACCAUAAUUCCCCUCUUGGGCCCACCAUGCAACAGCUGAUUGGCGUGUAGGCGAUUUAAUGACACUUAAACGCAUUGUGUUUUUUUUUUUACACUCAGUCUAAAGCCGACUCCCAACAUUCUGCUGCAGUACAUAAUGUGGUAUGAUUAUGAUGGUAUGACGUGACAGCCAACCGGCCAGAAUGCAUGUAAUAUUCUGUAACAUGAGGUACUCACUACCAAGCAUUGUUAGUUAAAAUGUGAAUGCUGCAUUCGUUUUUAUGAUUCUUUUUAAAUGAAGUGGGUGAUCUUUUUAAAAAUGUAUUUUUUUUUCAACAAUAAUGUACGCAAUUUAUUAAUAUACGCAGACAUAGUUUGAGUUUUAAAGUUAAAUUUAGUCCUUGUAACUUUUUGACAUUUUUUCAAUCGGAUCAUUACAGUCAUUAGACCUUUCAGUCUAAUACGGGGAGAUUGUAGUCUAAUAAGAUGUCGUUAAUUUUCUGCACUGUUUAUUACCCAAUAAAAUAAUAGACAUUAAUUGUUAUCGUCAUACGCAUCCAUCAUCUAUUGCAUUGUAGAUAAUACAGGGCGAGUCAAAAAGAGAGUGACUUAAUGAGAAAAAAAUGUUUAAGAUAAUAUGUAGCUCGAUCCAUUUAAUAACAAUAACACAGACAUAAAGAACAUUGACUAGUAAA